rnacentral:rRNA from 1 species
UACGUAGGUGACCAGCGUUGUCCGGAUUUACUGGGCGUAAAGAGCGCGCAGGCGGUCGUUCAAGUCGAGUGUGAAAGCCCCCGGCUCAACUGGGGAGGGUCAUUCGAUACUGAUCGACUUGAAGGCAGGAGAGGGAAGUGGAAUUCCCGGUGUAGUGGUGAAAUGCGUAGAUAUCGGGAGGAACACCAGUGGCGAAGGCGGCUACCUGGACCGGUUCUGACGCUGAGGCGCGAAAGCGCGGGUAGCAAACAGG